GACGAACGCUGGCGGCGUGCUUAACACAUGCAAGUCGAACGUGAUUUUUGUGGAAAUUCUUUCGGGAAUGGAAAUGAAAUGAAAGUGGCGAACGGGUGAGUAACACGUGAGCAACCUACCUUACACAGGGGGAUAGCCGUUGGAAACGACGAUUAAUACCGCAUGAGACCACAGAAUCGCAUGAUAUAGGGGUCAAAGAUUUAUCGGUGUAAGAAGGGCUCGCGUCUGAUUAGCUAGUUGGAAGGGUAAAGGCCUACCAAGACGACGAUCAGUAGCCGGUCUGAGAGGAUGAACGGCCACAUUGGAACUGAGACACGGUCCAAACUCCUACGGGAGGCAGCAGUGGGGAAUAUUGCACAAUGGGGGGAACCCUGAUGCAGCGACGCCGCGUGAGCGAAGAAGGUUUUCGAAUCGUAAAGCUCUGUCCUAUGAGAAGAUAANGACGGU
rnacentral:rRNA from 1 species